rnacentral:rRNA from 1 species
UAAUAGCGUAUACUUAAGUUGUUGCAGUUAAAACGCUCGUAGUCGGAAUUUGGCAGUUCCGGAUGUGUGCACGUCGUGUGCGCACUUCGCGGGGAUUGCUUUUGUGGUCUUGCGUAGGAUGAGGCACUUUUAUUAGUGAACGUCCUCACGCAACCACUUUUUACUGUGAGAAAAUCAGAGUGCUCAAAGCAGGCAUUUGCCGUGAAUGUAUUAGCAUGGAAUAAUAGAAUAGGACUUGGUUCUAUUUUGUUGGUUUGUUGGGACUGAGUAAUGAUUAAGAGGGACAGUUGGGGGCAUUUGUAUUUCGGUGCUAGAGGUGAAAUUCUUAGAUUACCGAAAGACAAACUGCUGCGAAAGCGUCUGCCAAGGAUGUUUUCAUUGA